rnacentral:misc_RNA from 1 species
UGUGCUGAGGACUCUCCGCAUGGC